CCAGAUGGUUCUUGAGGGUUUUGGGGAGGAGACGAGUAGUGAAGUGCUGUGAAGCUUCAGAUCUGAAAAUGGUAAGAGAAAAGCAAGCUCACACUGUGCUUUUUUUCUCUUUCCUACAGUCUCAACGUUCGUGAAGCAGCAGAGGUCAGAGGGAAGGAGUGCACUGGUAGGAAGCUGCACUGGUAGGAAAUAAUAAUAAUAAUAGAAGCAAGCUACCCUCUACACGACAAAAACAUUUGCUCGGAGAAAUACAAGCAAUGAAAAAAAUCCUACAGUCUCAACGUUCGUGAAGCAGCAGAGGUCAGAGGGAAGGAGUGCACUGGUAGGAAAUAAUAAUAAUAAUAAUAAUAAUAAUAGAAGCAAGCUACCCUCUAAACGACAAAAACG
rnacentral:lncRNA from 1 species